rnacentral:rRNA from 1 species
AACGAACGCUGGCGGCAUGCCUAACACAUGCAAGUCGAACGAGACCUUCGGGUCUAGUGGCGCACGGGUGCGUAACGCGUGGGAACCUGCCCUUAGGUUCGGAAUAACUCCCCGAAAGGGGUGCUAAUACCGGAUAAUGUCUUCGGACCAAAGAUUUAUGGCCUUUGGAUGGGCCCGCGUUGGAUUAGCUAGUUGGUAGUGUAAAAGCCUACCAAGGCGACGAUCCAUAGCUGGUCUGAGAGGAUGAUCAGCCACACUGGGACUGAGACACGGCCCAGACUCGUACGGGAGGGAGCAGUGGGGAAUAUUGGACAAUGGGCGAAAGCCUGAUCCAGCAAUGCCGCGUGAGUGAUGAAGGCCUUAGGGUUGUAAAGCUCUUUUACCCGGGAUGAUAAUGACAGUACCGGGAGAAUAAGCUCCGGCUAACUCCGUG